CGCCCCUGUGAGAACGCCCUUAAUCUUCUUCUUGAAACAAGGAGCUGGUAUCAGGCACAAUUAUUAGCCCAAGACACCUAGCUAUGCCACAUCCACAUGGAAAUUCAGCAGUAAUUAACAUUGAGUAUAAGCGUCAGCUUGACUCAGUUAAAGUAAAGAGGGCCGGCAAAUAUGGUGCCAGCCGCCGCGGUUACACCACGAGGCUCAAAUUGAUUACUUUCGGCGUAAAGCGUGAUUAAAGUUAUUCACCACUAUAGUUAUAUUUUAACUAAGCUGUGACACGCUUGUUCCUAAGAAACUCAGAAACGAAAGUUACUAUAUAUAAUUCAACUUGAACCCACGACAGCUGAGACACAAACUGGGAUUAGAUACCCCCUAUGCUCAGCCGUAAACUUUAAAUUACUCCUUAUCGCCAGGGGAACUAC
rnacentral:rRNA from 1 species